GUUCAUCAUGUCAAACCAUCAUAAGUGCACAUUAUUAAUUAUUUGAAAUUAUGCAGUAAACAGUUUAGUGCAUUGAUAGUUGAAUCUGGAAGGUUAUGAAUAUUUUCGCAGAUGACAUUCAAUUACACUAUACUAGAAGACUGUAUGCUCAGGUGGCGCCUGUUCGCCUGAUCAUCUCAACACUCUGUAAAACACAUCAGUAAAAUGGCUGUCUACCGCGGCAUGUGCAACUGUAAUGUGACAUAACCAAAAGUUGAAAUUUAUGUAUGGGGGCAUAACUUUCUUAAAAUUGUUGCGUGGAACAUGGAUUAUCAACACUCUUGGGAAGCACUGUUUCAGAUAGUACUAUCAGCAAGGACCACGAACUAGAUUCAAGUUUCUUGCUUACAUUU